AGUCGCGUGGUCUAAUGGUUAUGAUUUCUCGUUCACAUGAUUAUUAUCCCUCAAGAGAAUCCUCAGUACUUGGUAUGGAGGAGGUUCCGAGAAGGUUCCCGGUUCGAUCCCGGGCGCGACUA